rnacentral:misc_RNA from 1 species
GAUGAAGAACGCAGCGAAAUGCGAUAAGUAAUGUGAAUUGCAGAAUUCAGUGAAUCAUCGAAUCUUUGAACGCACCUUGCGCUCCUUGGUAUUCCGAGGAGCAUGCCUGUUUGAGUGUCAUUAAUAUAUCAACCUUCACUUGUUGAAUGGUUUGGAUGUGGGGGUUUGCUGGUCUCUUAAAGGGUUCAGCUCCUCUAAAAUGCAUUAGCAGAACAAUCUGUUCAUUGGUGUGAUAACUAUCUACGCUCUUGAAUAAGAUGCAGUUCAGCUUUCUAACUGUCCUUGGACAAUUUAUCAUUUAUGUGACCUCAAAUCAGGUAGGACUACCCGCUGAACUUAAGCAUAUCAAUAAGCGGAGGA